GACGAACGCUGGCGGCGUGCUUAACACAUGCAAGUCGAACGAUGAACCCGGAGCUUGCUCCGGCGGAUUAGUGGCGAACGGGUGAGUAACACGUGAGUAACCUGCCCUUGACUCUGGGAUAACUGCGGGAAACUGUAGCUAAUACCGGAUACGACCCUCGGCGGCAUCGCCAGGGGGUGGAAAGAAUUUCGGUCAAGGAUGGACUCGCGGCCUAUCAGCUAGUUGGUGAGGUAACGGCUCACCAAGGCGACGACGGGUAGCCGGCCUGAGAGGGUGAGCGGCCACACUGGGAAGGAGACACGGCCCAGACUCCUACGGGAGGCAGCAGUGGGGAAUAUUGCACAAUGGGCGAAAGCCUGAUGCAGCAACGCCGCGUGAGGGAUGACGGCCUUCGGGUUGUAAACCUCUUUUAGUAGGGAAGAAGCGAAAGUGACGGUACCUGCAGAAAAAGCACCGGCUAACUACGUGCCAGCCGCCGCGGUAA
rnacentral:rRNA from 1 species